UUUCCGUAGGUGAACCUGCGGAAGGAUCAUUAUUGGAUUUUGAAACUUCAGGCUGCUGCUGGCUCUCCUCGGAGGGCAUGUGCACGCUUGUUGUCCAUUAUUUCUCCCACUGUGCACAAAUUGUAGACCUUUCAGUAGGCCUAUGUUGUUUUUCACAAUCUCUGAAUGUAAUAGAAUGGUUUUGAAUCUUGGGAAAUACAAUACAACUUUCAGCAACGGAUCUCUUGGCUCUCGCAUCGAUGAUGAACGCAGC
rnacentral:misc_RNA from 1 species